rnacentral:rRNA from 1 species
GCAAGUCGAACGGUAGAGGGGGCAACCCCUUGAGAGUGGCGAACGGGUCAGUAAUAUAUCGGAACGUGCCCAGUCGUGGGGGAUAACGUAGUGAAAAUUACGCUAAUACCGCAUACGAUCUAAGGAUGAAAGCGGGGGAUCGCAAGACCUCGCGCGACUGGAGCGGCCGAUAUCAGAUUAGGUAGUUGGUAGGGUAAAGGCCUACCAAGCCAACGAUCUGUAGCUGGUCUGAGAGGACGACCAGCCACACUGGAACUGAGACACGGUCCAGACUCCUACGGGAGGCAGCAGUGGGGAAUUUUGGACAAUGGGCGAAAGCCUGAUCCAGCCAUUCCGCGUGCAGGAUGAAGGCCCUCGGGUUGUAAACUGCUUUUGUACAGAACGAAAAGGUUUCUAUUAAUACUAGGAGCUCAUGACGGUACUGUAAGAAUAAGCACCGGCUAACUACGUGCCAGCAGCCGCGGUAAUACGUAGGGUGCAAGCGUUAAUCGGAAUUACUGGGCGUAAAGCGUGCGCAGGCGGUUAUAUAAGUCAGAUGUGAAAUCCCCGGGCUCAACCUGGGAACUGCAUUUGAGACUGUAUAGCUAGAGUACGGUAGAGGGGGAUGGAAUUCCGCGUGUAGCAGUGAAAUGCGUAGAUAUGCGGAGGAACACCGAUGGCGAAGGCAAUCCCCUGGACCUGUACUGACGCUCAUGCACGAAAGCGUGGGGAGCAAACAGGAUUAGAUACCCUGGUAGUCCACGCCCUAAACGAUGUCAACUGGUUGUUGGGUCUUAACUGACUCAGUAACGAAGCUAACGCGUGAAGUUGACCGCCUGGGGAGUACGGCCGCAAGGUUGAAACUCGAAGGAAUUGACGGGGACCCGCACAAGCGGUGGAUGAUGUGGUUUAAUUCGAUGCAACGCGAAAAACCUUACCCCACUUUGACAUGUACGGAAGGAUCCAGAGAUGGAUUUGUGCUCGAAAGAGAACCGUAACACAGGUGCUGCAUGGCUGUCGUC